rnacentral:lncRNA from 12 species
GGGGGGGGGGGGGGGGGGGGGGGGGGGGGGGGGGGGGGGGGGGGGGGGGGGGGGGGGGGGGGGGGGGGGGGGCUGGUCUGGCCUGGUUUGGUCUGUCUGGUCUGGUUUAGUCUGGUUUGGUUUGGUCUGGUCUGCUCUGGUCUGUUUGGUUUAGUCUGGUCUGGUCUGGUUUAGUCUGGUUUGGUUUGGUCUGGUCUGGUUUAGUCUGGUUUAGUCUGGUCUGGUCUGGUCUGGUCUGGUCUGUCUGGUCUGGUUUAGUCUGGUUUAGUCUGGUCUGGUCUAGUCUGGUCUGGUCUGGUUUCCCAAUGGGAGGUGUGAAAACUGGGAGUGGUGUAGCACAGGACCCACGUCCCCAACAGAUCCUCAGCAUUUCAGAAAUAUUUGGGAAGGAAGUUGAUUUUCUACAGUACAGCAUUGAGAAUUUUAGGUUUUUAAGUGUCAGUUAA